GGGGAGAUGCUUUAGUGGGUAAAGUGCUUGGUAUGCAAGCAUGAGGACCUGAGUUCAAAUCCCAGUCUCCAUG
rnacentral:tRNA from 1 species